AUGCCUUUCGGUCUGACGAAUGCACCGGCAACCUUUCAAUGUCUGAUGAACAAAAUUUUUGCCAAGUAUAUCCGCAAGUUCGUGAUUGUUUUCUUAGAUGAUAUUCUGGUAUACAGUCACACUUGGGAAGAACAUCUAGAGCACCUACGAUUAGUUCUAGACAUUCUGCGUGAGAAUAUUCUGUUUGCUAAGUUGUCCAAGUGCUCCUUUGCACAAACUAGCAUCCAGUAUUUGGGCCACACUAUUUCCAGCUCAGGUGUGGCUACCAAUCCAGAAAAGACUGAAGCUAUGGAGAAUUGGCCACUUCCUAACAAUGCAACUGAGUUGAGAGGAUUCUUGGGACUCACAGGGUACUACCGCAAGUUCAUCAGAGAUUAUGGCACCAUGGCUAAACCCCUUACACAGCUGCUGACCAAGAAAGGAUUCUUGUGGACUGAUCAAGCAACAACUGCAUUUCAAACUCUAAAACAGGCUAUGACAAGUGCCCCUGUUUUGGCUUUGCCUGACUUCAGCCAAACAUUU
rnacentral:rRNA from 1 species